rnacentral:rRNA from 1 species
GACGAACGCUGGCGGCGUGCUUAACACAUGCAAGUCGAGCGGAGAAUAUAGCAAUAUAUUCUUAGCGGCGGACGGGUGAGUAACGCGUGGGCAACUUGCCUCAUACAGGGGGAUAACACUGGGAAACUAGUGCUAAUACCGCAUAAAAUAGUGAAGUGGCAUCACUUUACUAUCAAAGGAGAAAUCCGGUGUGAGAUGGGCCCGCGUCCGAUUAGCUAGUUGGUGAGGUAAAGGCCCACCAAGGCGACGAUCGGUAGCCGAACUGAGAGGUUGAUCGGCCACAUUGGGACUGAGACACGGCCCAGACUCCUACGGGAGGCAG